AGAUUAUCAAGAACGAUCUGAAGAAAUGCCUCUGCCAUUAUGGAACAACAACAAUUAAGGAUUCUUUUUUCUGAUAGGCAAACCAGAUAUGAGAAGGCUGAAUGAAUGUGAGAGGAGAAUGGUGUAUUGAAAGAGCUGCGCUCAGCAUGGGUGAGAGGCACUUGUUAGGGAGAUUUACAAAAUGUAAACAAAUCGGAUUUCCUGAAAGGCGUGAAACACUUUCAGAUCAAAUCAAUUUGGUGGUUUUACCAAUAUUUGAUCGGAUACAAUUCAGGUACUUUACACUUGGCUAUAACUCUACACCAUGCUGAAAACUCUAAAAGCCAACAACCCUCAACCCGAAUUGUUUUUGAGCAAACAAUACGAGCUUAGGCAUCUCGCUUUCGUCGAUGAAUCCAUCGGAAUUCGUGUCGACUGCCUUGAGAACUCGCUUGGCCUUCCUCUUGCAGAACCACCCGCCCGUGGCGUGGAUGGCCUCCCGGAGCUCCUCCACGCUUAUCCGGCCGUCCCCGUCUUCGUCGAACUUCUUCAACCAUUUCUUGAACUCUUCCAUGGUUAAUUCUAGUUUACCAUGGCAAUUGACGACCCUAUUAGGAUACCUAAUUAAUGCCAUUUUU